rnacentral:lncRNA from 1 species
GUAAAUGUCAGAAUUAUCAAGCAUUUAAAUAGCAGUCACAUGAUUAACAGGAAGAGAUGUUCAUAGAAAUCAACAGGAAAAGGUCAAAGUAGUUAAUUAAACAGGAGCCGCAGAGAACAUAUGUGUGCACACAAUUAAGUAACAAACAGAUACGCAUAAUAAAAGAUUAACCUAAAAAUCGGGGUUUUGGCAUAACAAUCAAGGCAACAAGAAAGCAUAAAAUAAUCACUUAAAUACAGUAGAAACGUUUAAAAUCAAAGCAAAAUUGUUUUGAGAACAGGGUCGAGAAACCCUAGUUCUUGAAAUUGUUAUAAAUCAGAAUUUUUCGGAGAAAACAUGAAGAAGCUUCGUAGCACCAUAAAUAUAGAACAAUCUUAAACGAAAACCCAAAAUACAGAAGACUAGGGUUUCGUGGAACCCAAACAAAAGGGAAAACCUCAUGAACAACAUAGAUUUAGCAGGAGAGACUACAAACUUACUCAAAAUGGCCAAAAAAUGGCAAGAGACCAGUAGAAGGUGAGUGAACCACUCCAGGUUCAUCUGAAGAGCCUAGGAUAUCAUCGAGUGGUUGAGAAGUAGGUAGAUGACCAAGAGAUAGUGAGGACCCAUAGGUUCCGGUGAGAAAACCGGUCGGAGAAGGUUAACAGACCUCGUUGGAGGGGAGAAGCCAAAGGGGCUUCUAGAGAGUGGCAGAGAGAUAGAGAGAAUG